rnacentral:tRNA from 1 species
GGGAAUUUAGGGGAAUAUUGAAGAUAGCCCUGUAAGCCUUGUAUUUGUUGAUUUAUAUUGAUAUAACAAUGACUUAGCUACACUAAUCAACACCAAUAAAUAUUCUGUUUUGCGGACUUUUAAUCCGUUGGUCGCGAGUUCGAAUCUCGCCCGACCCACCA